GACGAACGCUGGCGGCGCGCCUAACACAUGCAAGUCGAACGGAGCUGAGAGAAGCUUGCUUUUCUUAGCUUAGUGGCGAACGGGUGAGUAACGCGUGAGUAACCUGCCCUGGAGUGGGGGACAACAGUUGGAAACGACUGCUAAUACCGCAUAAGCCCACGAUCCGGCAUCGGAUUGAGGGAAAAGGAUUUAUUCGCUUCAGGAUGGACUCGCGUCCAAUUAGCUAGUUGGUGAGGUAACGGCCCACCAAGGCGACGAUUGGUAGCCGGACUGAGAGGUUGAACGGCCACAUUGGGACUGAGACACGGCUCAGACUCCUACGGGAGGCAGCAGUGGGGGAUAUUGCACAAUGGGGGAAACCCUGAUGCAGCGACGCCGCGUGGAGGAAGAAGGUUUUCGGAUUGUAAACUCCUGUCGUUAGGGACGAUAAUGACGGUACCUAACAAGAAAGCACCGGCUAACUACGUG
rnacentral:rRNA from 1 species